CCCAGUCAUGGGGGACACCUUCAUCCGUCACAUCGCCCUGCUGGGCUUUGAGAAGCGCUUCGUACCCAGCCAGCACUAUGUACAUGUUCCUGGUGAAAUGGCAGGACCUGUCGGAGAAGGUGGUCUACCGGCGCUUCACCGAGAUCUACGAGUUCCAUGACAAAAAAGCCAGAGACAUACUUGAUGCCCAAAGAUGGCAAGAGUACCGCGACAGACAUCACCGGCCCCAUCAUCCUGCAGACGUACCGCGCCAUUGCCAACUACGAGAAGACCUCGGGCUCCGAGAUGGCUCUGUCCACGGGGGACGUGGUGGAGGUCGUGGAGAAGAGCGAGAGCGGUCAGACCUCCCACCUUACGGGGCUCCUUCCCCUGGUGCUCAGGAACCCACAGCCACAAGCCCCCUGCCAAGGCUCAGGCAGCCUGGCCCCUGGGAGGACUCCGGCUCUGUUAGGGGCCCUAAAUGUCCUCCCCACACUGUGGGUCGCCUUCUCUCUUAGUGUGCACCCUGUGGUGGCUGUGGGCAUCUGUGCAUGGCAGGCCGGGGCGGGGCAUGUCUGCGUGUUCUGUCUGGAUGGGUAUGGGACCGUCUGUUCAUUAUGAAGUGGGCUCAGAGCUGUGAUUCUGUGAGCAUGUGUGCAUGCAUGCAUGUGACCUCAUUGUCCAGUGUGGUGAAGGUGACAUUUCCAAAUCUGAGCAUUGGACAUCAGUGUGUCUGUGUCCCUGUGUCCUCACCAUCCCUGAUGGCUGCAGGGAGCCGCUGGGCCCUGCCCCUCAGUCACAUUCCCGCACCUCUGGCACAGGUUGGUGGUUCUGUCAGAUGAAAGCAAAGCGAGGCUGGAUCCCAGCAUCCUUCCUCGAGCCCCUGGACAGUCCUGACGAGACGGAAGACCCUGAGCCCAACUAUGCAGGUGAGCCAUACGUCGCCAUCAAGGCCUACACUGCUGUGGAGGGGGACGAGGUGUCCCUGCUCGAGGGUGAAGCUGUUGAGGAAAGACGACGUCACAGGCUACUUCCCGUCCAUGUACCUGCAAAAGUCAGGGCAAGACGUGUCCCAGGCCCAACGCCAGAUCAAGCGGGGGGCGCCGCCCCGCAGGUCGUCCAUCCGCAACGUGCACAGCAUCCACCAGCGGUCGCGGAAGCGCCUCAGCCAGGACGCCUAUCGCCGCAACAGCGUCCGUUUUCUGCAGCAGCGACGCCGCCAGGCGCGGCCGGGACCGCAGAGCCCCGGGAGCCCGCUCGAGGAGGAGCGGCAGACGCAGCGCUCUAAACCGCAGCCGGCGGUGCCCCCGCGGCCGAGCGCCGACCUCAUCCUGAACCGCUGCAGCGAGAGCACCAAGCGGAAGCUGGCGUCUGCCGUCUGAGGCUGGAGCGCAGUCCCCAGCUAGCGUCUCGGCCCUUGCCGCCCCGUGCCUGUAUAUACGUGUUCUAUAGAGCCUGGCGUCUGGACGCCGAGGGCAGCCCCGACCCCUGUCCAGCGCGGCUCCCGCCACCCUCAAUAAAUGUUGCUUGGAGUGGA
ensembl:lncRNA NCF1B neutrophil cytosolic factor 1B (pseudogene)